UGCCUGCCUGCCUGCCUGCCUGCCUGCCUGCCUGCCUGCCUGCCUGCCUGCCUGCCUGCCCUCUGACUCCUACCUGUGAUUCGGAUCCUUUCUUGACUGCCUCCCUGUUCUACUGCCCCGGUUAUCCCGACCUGCCUUCCGGAUCUUCUCGAUUACUCUCCGAUCUUCAGCCCCCCCCGGCCUCCGACCACCAGACGAGCGAGCCCCCGACGCGUCACCACCCUCAGCCCGAGACGCCGCUCGAUCACUGGGGGACACACACACUCAGCACCUUGGACUGGAACCCCCCGGAGACUUGGAAAACCCGAGAACCCCUGGAACCCCUGGAACCCCUGGCACUCCUAGCACCCCUGGAACCGGAACCUCCAAGACCUCACGUUUCUCUCACUCCUCUUCCCCCCUGAACCCUUCAAUAAAAAGACUCUGAAUUUGAA